GCGCACCAGUCGAGAAUACUUACAAUGCGGGAAACCGUGAUAAGGGAACCUCGAGUGCUGGCGCAUAGCGUCGGCUGUCCAGAUGCCUAAAAGCAUCUGAUAGCAAGGGCCGGGCAAGACCGGUGCCAGCCGCCGCGGUAACACCGGCGGCUCGAGUGGUGGCCACGUUUAUGGGUCUAAAGCGUCCGUAGCCGGCUCGGCAAGUCCCCUGGGAAAUCUGGCGGCUCAACCGUCAGGCGUCCAGAGGAUACUGCUGGGCUUGGGACCGGGAGAGGUGAGAGGUACCUCAGGGGUAGGGUGAAAUCUUGUGAUCCCUGAGGGACCACC
rnacentral:rRNA from 1 species